AGGAUGAACGCUGGCGGCGUGCCUAACACAUGCAAGUCGAACGUCCUGUCUCGCAAGAGGCAGGGAGUGGCGGACGGGUGAGUACCACGUGGGUUAUCUACCGUGAGGUGAGGAAUACCGGCGAGAAAUCGCCGACAAGACCGCAUAGCCUCGGUGCAAGCCGAGGAAAGCUUUCUCGAGAGAGGGAGCGCCACACGAGGAGCCUGCGCCCGAUUAGCUAGCUGGUGGAGUAACGGUUCACCAGGGCGACGAUCGGUAGCUGGUCUGAGAGGACGAUCAGCCACACUGGGAUUGAGAACGGCCCAGACUCCUACGGGGGGCAGCAGUGAGGAAUUUUCGUCAAUGGGGGCAACCCUGAACGAGCAACGCCGCGUGCAGGAAGAAGGUUUUCGGAUCGUAAACUGCUUUUCGUCGGGGAAGAGAACGGACGGUACCCGAGGAAUCGAGCCCCGGCUAACUACGCGCCAGCAGCCGCGGUAA
rnacentral:rRNA from 1 species